CGUUUGAUGGUUCUGUCCCACAUAUGAUGCGAUCAUAGUUUUAACUGUCUUGUUAAUCCUUUCGGUCAGGUUUGUUUGAGGGUGAUAACUGGUCGUGAGUUUUUGGGAAAUGCCCCAGGUCUUGCAGAGCUCGGCCAGAACAUUGGAGAGGGAACAUUUCCACCCAUUUUGUGUAGUAGUCAACUACCACAAGGAGGUGUCGCAGCCCUUGACGUAUUGCCAGACGUCUUUACGGACACUAGGCCACCAUGCAACCUCCAAAAGCCUCAGCAGUGUUUUUAACCGGCCAAGAUGUCCCCCCAGAGGGUUAUCGUGGAAGUAAUGGAGGAAA